rnacentral:rRNA from 1 species
UAUGUGAUCGUCUCUCGCAUAUCAAUAAGCGGAGGAAAAGAAACUAAUAAGGAUUCCCCUAGUAACGGCGAGUGAAGCGGGAAGAGCUCAAAUUUGAAAUCUUAAAGGGUUUCCCUUUACGAAUUGUAGUUUAAAGAAGUGUUUUCUGUUGAGGUUUUGGUAAAAGUUCUUUGGAAUAGGACAUCAUAGAGGGUGAGAAUCCCGUAUUUGACCUUUACUUUCAACUUUGUGAUACACUUUCGAAGAGUCGGAUUGUUUGGGAAUGCAGUCCAAAAUGGGUGGUAAAUUUCAUCUAAAGCUAAAUAUUGGCGAGAGACCGAUAGCGAACAAGUACCGUGAGGGAAAGAUGAAAAGAACUUUGAAAAGAGAGUUAAACAGUACGUGAAAUUGUCAAAAGGGAAGCGUUUGACACCAGUGUUGUUUUUCUGAAAAUCAAUUAAAGAACUGUUUAUGCUAAGCUGUUUAGACUUUAUCAGCUAUCUGUUUAGUUUUGAGCUUUUCUUUAAUGCACUUUUCAGUUAACAAGUCAACAUCAAUUUCUUUUGCUGUAAAAAAGCUUGAGGAAGGUGGCUUGAGAUUCGUCUUAAGUGUUUAUAGCCUCUUGCCUAUGCAGUCGGAGAGAUUGAGGUCUGCAGCGUAGAUCCUUCGGGGCUAAAUGCAUUUGUGCUAAGUUAUAGCAUUUUAUAGACAACUUGUUGACUAUGAUUUGUCUUGUAGCUUACUCGCUUAUGUUAUUUUACCUACGCUUAGGAUGUUGAGCGCAUGUCUCUCUCU